GCCGCAGAAUGCCCCUCACAUCGCCCUGGGCCCCCAUCUCAGGCCCCCCUUCCUGGGGGUGCCCUCGGCUCUGUGCCAGACCCCAGGUGAGGAGGCGGGUGCGCAUCCCCUGGGAUCCCGCGUGGAGGCCCGCGGACCCGUCCCUGCCCCUGUCGGAGCCGAGACGGACGGGGUAGGGGGUUGUAAAGGGCCGGCUCGGACCGCCUCGGACCCCCCGACCCCGCGUUGUCCCCCUCCCCACCAGGCUACGGUUUCCUGCCCCCGCCCAGGCGGAGAUGUUCGCCCGGCAGCAGGAGCUCCUGCGGAAGCAGAACCUGGCCCGGUAGGUGCGGGGAGGCGGGCGGGGCCGCGCGGCCCGGGAGGCGGCUGACCCGCGUCUGCCCCCGGCCCAGGCUGGAGCUGCCCGCCGACCUGCUGCGGCAGAAGGAGCUGGAGAGCGCGCGCCCACAGCUGCUGGCGCCCGAGACCGCCCUGCGCCCCAACGACGGCGCCGAGGAGCUGCAGCGGCGCGGGGCCCUGCUGGUGCUGAACCACGGCGCGGCGCCACUGCUGGCCCUGCCCCCCCAGGGGCCCCCGGGCUCCGGACCCCCCACCCCGUCCCGGGACUCUGCCCGGCGAGCCCCCCGGAAAGGGGGUCCCGGCCCUGCCUCAGCGCGGCCCAGCGAGUCCAAGGAGAUGACGGGGGCUAGGCUCUGGGCACAAGAUGGCUCGGAAGACGAGCCCCCC
rnacentral:sRNA from 1 species